rnacentral:pre_miRNA from 1 species
GUGAGUGUUUCUUUGGCAGUGUCUUAGCUGGUUGUUGUGAGUAAUAGAUGAGGAAGCAAUCAGCAAGUAUACUGCCCUAGAAGUGCUACAC